CACACACACACACACACAGGGUGGGACUACACACACACACACACACACAGGGUGGGACUACACACACACACACAGGGUGGGACUACACACACACACACAUGGGGUGGGACUACACACACACAGACACACACACAGGGUGGGACUACACACACACACACAGGAACACAGGGUGGGACUACACACACACACACAGGGUGGGACUACACACACACACACAGGGUGGGACUACACACACACACACACAGAACACAGGGUGGGAAUACACACACACACACAGGGUGGGACUACACACACACACACACACACAGAACACUGGGUGGGAAUACACACACAGAACACAGGGUGGGACUACACACACAC
ensembl:lncRNA